rnacentral:snoRNA from 1 species
UUAUAUGAUGACUUCAAAAACAAAGCUGGAAUUACUGGCAGAAUUUUACUGUUGAAAAUGUUUUUGCACCUAGACUGAUC